rnacentral:rRNA from 1 species
GAUGAACGCUGGCGGCGUGCCUAAUACAUGCAAGUCGAGCGAACGGACGAGAAGCUUGCUUCUCUGAUGUUAGCGGCGGACGGGUGAGUAACACGUGGAUAACCUACCUAUAAGACUGGGAUAACUUCGGGAAACCGGAGCUAAUACCGGAUAAUAUUUUGAACCGCAUGGUUAAAAAGUGAAAGACGGUCUUGCUGUCACUUAUAGAUGGAUCCGCGCUGCAUUAGCUAGUUGGUAAGAUAACGGCUUACCAAGGAAACGAUGCAUAGCCGACCUGAGAGGGUGAUCGGCCACACUGGAACUGAGACACGGUCCAGACUCCUACGGGAGGCAGCAGUAGGGAAUCUUCCGCAAUGGGCGAAAGCCUGACGGAGCAACGCCGCGUGAGUGAUGAAGGUCUUCGGAUCGUAAAACUCUGUUAUUAGGGAAGAACAUAUGUGUAAGUAACUGUGCACAUCUUGACGGUACCUAAUCAGAAAGCCACGGCUAACUACGUG